UCCUACCAGUAUUAAGCCAUGCAUGUCAAUUUCAAGGCGAAUUAAUAGUGGAACUGCAAAAUGCCUUAGACCAUUAACGUUUACUGGGAUGAUUGUAAGUUGGAGGAUUAGUAGUAACUCUAGAGGUAAUUCAUGCAAUAUAAACACGAACCAAUGGAACCUGUGCUUUUAUCAAGCUUAAACUAAGCGACCUUUUUGGCCAUAUGCUGGUUUAACUCUAGAUAACUUUCAGAUCGUAUGAUCUUGUACCGACGAUAGACUUUUCUGUCCUUUUGUCUGUCCUCUGUUAACUUUUGAUAGUAAUACUUAGGCCUGUCAUGUUUGCACCAGUUAAGAGGAAAUCGAGGUUCGAUUCCAGAACGGGAGAUUAAGAAAAAGCUACCACAUUUAGGGUAAGCAGCAGGUGCGUAAAUUAUCCACUACCUGUUCGGGGAGUUAAUGACGAAAAAGAACAAUAUAGGGUUCACUGGGCUCGUUAGUUGCGGCCCAGUAUAUGUGUAGACUUUAGAUUCUUUAACAAGUAACCUAUUGAAGGGUAAGUCUGAUGCCAGCAACCGCGUUAACUCCCGUUCCAAU
rnacentral:ncRNA from 1 species